rnacentral:sRNA from 1 species
GCUGGGCAUGGUGGUGCAUGCUUGUAAUCCCAGAGGCUCAGGAGGCUGAGAUGGGAGGAUAGUGCAUUCAAAGCCAGGCUCAGCAACUUAGCGAGGCCCUAAGCAACUAGCAAGACCUUGUCUCAA